UUGCGUAGGAACUAGUUCUUGCUUGCUAUUCAUAAGAGGCACUCUUGCCUCCCUCUUAUGAAUUUGGUCCAGAGGUGUGACCACUGAUCCUGCAGUGCACACUCCGAUCAGUUGGACAGAGGCUAGUAUCCCUCCCUCUGUUCUUCGACCAACGACCAGGGAGGGAACCAAGGUUGGACGAACACCAGUCUGUUCAUAAGACUCAGAUUCCACCCACCAAUAAGUGAGUCUUCCAUAUGUAGAGGACCGAGGGUUUGUAUUACGUAUCGGAACAAAUCACAAUUUUAAGUAAAUUGUAUUUUUCCUAACUACAAACCUGAGGUCCUUUACACAUAGUCCCACCUCAUGCCACCCCUCACUCUGUUCCUGGGCCUAAAGCAAAGUGGAAUGUUUACCUCCAGUCGGGCGGGACUCCCGACCAUCGGACAAGCAGUUACUACUGAACCACCUUGUUCGGAAGCUUACGACUGGUCCAGCUGCCGCUUUAAGUAAUAUUCCAUAUGCAAAGGACCUCAGGUUUGUAUAGUUAGGAAAAAUACAAUUUACUUCAAAUUGUGAUUUUUGCUAUAAUACCACUUCAGUACGAUUAGAUUUUGCUAUAACACCAUUUCAGGUGUGGUACAUUAUUGGAUAAUCUCUAGAAUUGAAUGCCAAGUGUCAAGUACAGGUUGGUUGAGGUUGAGGGACUAUGUCAAACAGCUGUCGGGUGUAGGACAUUCAGAAAAUGUUCAGGUGCAGCUGUACUGCUGCUGGAUAGGUUAUUUGUUACUAGAGGGACUUUAGUUACUGAUCAGGAAGCCAGACUUGUUGAGGUGCCAUUGUAUCUCUCUAGUGAUAUGAAUUGGAAGCGUGAACUGGUGUGUCUUGGGGGAAGGUGUCAUCUGAAUAUGAUCUACUGAUUAUGUUGGAUUAAAAAGUAGAGAAUGAAGUGAGUUCAUUUUACAGGAACUCAAAAGAAUUGCAGUCGAACCCUUAGAAGAACAGUCUCCAAAGGAAAGCACCCGCUGAAGUAAGAGGAGACCCAGGCCUCUAUUGCCUCUUCACUACAGGUCGAGAUGAGCUCCAACCAGAGGUCCUAUCUACUUGCUGUAUCUCUCUCGCCAGAUUUAUGCCGAACUCGAAAGCUCUUGGCUCAAGGUCACACAACAAGAGUCCUGCUGUUUAGGUCAUGUAUAGGAUCUGGAAAUCCUUACAGGAUGGAAAUUGUCAACGUCCAGCAUGCAGCUCACACAAGACUUUUAGGAGUGUUUGCUACAAAACAAGUGUGCUAUAGAAUCAUAUCUUAUAGGAAUCUUUAAAUAUUUAUUUAGCAACUUGGCAUAAGAUAUACCAGAAUGUCACUUGUAAGUUAUUUGUUGCUAAUGAUUGAGGUGAAGUAGAAAAAAAAUUGUCAUAUAUAGGGAAUGGGAAUACUGUGCUAAAGCCUGUACUAUACUUUUACUUCCCUUUUGCUUUCAGAGAUGUAUUCCAAUUUUCUGAAAAAUAUAUUGACCCUUUUAAAUGUGGUUAUUACUGUGGCAGGUCUAAGCUUACAUGCACCUCUAUGGCUGUGAUUUUGCACUUGAGCAAAUGCUUUCUUAAAGUGUAUCUUAUGAAAUGAUGUACCUGUUAAUUUUUAUGACCAGAAUUUUUGUAUCGAAUGAUUUAUGAUGGCCAAAAAUCCCUAAUCCAGUUUUCAUUUUUCAAGUUUUGUCGAAGAUUUUAAAGCAGGAUUUGUUCUUGUGUCUUGUACAGUAGUACGUACAUAUAUUUUCUGCAUGUAGGCCAUUUUCCUCUUAACUCUGUAAGUCCCCCUCAUUAUGGGACCACCUUGACGUGGUGAGGGGGCUCUAGAACCUCAGGAAUCUUUUCCCAGGUUCGAACGCAAGAGUCCCAUAUGACAUUAUAUAUUUUCGAGUUAACUUCUGUGGACUUUUCCAUUUUUGCCAAAAUUUUUGAAGGCAAAUAAAU